rnacentral:other from 1 species
AUAAGUCUGUGUGUCUCGACAACCAAGCGCUUAAAUAACCCGAACAAUUCUUUCUCAGGGAUUUGGACUCCGCGUACGGUUUGCAGACCUCCCUUCUUUGAAGGACGCUGGGAGCAGUAAAGUACAAGGGACAGAACCCACCUGCGUUUAACAGCAGGUUAUCUUCAGCCUUGGCGGACAUACGGAUUUAUA